AGACGUUGUGGUGUGGCUCGUGCAGUACUGCCGGCAGCCUGGGGCGUCGUUGCAGAGCCUGUGCUCCAGGCUCCUAGCUGUAGAGUUCCAUCAGCUACUUAACCAGCCCUACUGCCCACUGCUGCGAGGAUCCGAGCCUGAGACCCCUCUGUCUCUUCUGCUAAGUCCGAGCCGGAGACCAGACUCGUGGCUUUAGUUUUUCUAAGGUCCUGGAAGCUGAACAUGCUUUGUUUGGGGAUAACCCAGGACUCUGCUUGGAAGAGCUCCCGUGGCACUCCUCAGAUCUAGAACUAGUUAAAUGGAACAAUGUCAAAAUCGCCUCGCAGUUCCCCCCUGAAUGCCACUGGUUUGGAUCUGUGUCGGACGAUGAGUGCAUGAGUGAACGAUUCUAGGCACGCAUGCUCUCUGGAUCCCAGUGCAAGAAGGAGUCAUCGAUUCUACCCCUCGGAAUGAGAGCAGAGUCCUUCCUACAGGAGACGUUGCAUUUGAGGUUUUCUUAAGAAGCCUCACCUCCCUUGUGAUGUCUUUUCUCCCACAGCAGCCUGCAUAGCACUGUCUGGCACUAUGAAUUCUAGCAGCAGGGAGGAAGUCAAAUGAAUUCUUUCUGAGGCUGAAGAAAAUCAUCCGUAAGUGUGGGCGAAGACGGAGCGAGCACAGGGUACCCACAAAAUGUUGGUGACUCAUGGUGAAUCCAUCUCACUUCUGGCAAAGACCAGGUGUGGGAGAGAAGUAAAAUGGGGAAAGCAAACAGAAGAAUCGAGGGAUAGCAUGGUGACUGGAGGGCAUCUGACGAGGAUGUAAUGUGUAAAGGACGGGUGAGCUUCCAUGGUUCUGAUGUAGGCCAGCAGGUACCAGCUGGGUACAAUCAGAAAUCUGUUUUCUCAACGUUUCCUCCUUGGUUGUUGUGCUAGGUUCCUGCCUUGCUUUCCUGCCCUGAUUUUCCUCAAUACGACACUGUGACCUCAAAAUGUGAGUUCAUGAGCUGGAGAGAUGGCUCAGCGGUUAAAAGCACAGACUGUUCUUCCAGAGGUUCUGAGUUCAAUUCCCAGCAACCACAUGGUGGCUCACAACCAUCCGUAGUGGAAUUUGGCACCUUCUUCUGGUGUGUCUGAAGACAGCUACAGUGUACUCAUAUACAUAAAAUAAAUAAAUCUUUAAAAAAAAA